CCUGUGCAAAGAGUCGUUAAGC
rnacentral:miRNA from 2 species